UGAGGGCUGCACUAACCCAGGACAACAAACAAGCAUAGUAAGAACUGGAGAUGAAUGACUCAGAGCCGACAAGGAGAGGGCAGGUCAGCAUCACAGACCUCCUGGAGGGUGUCCAGGGGAGUCACAGAGGAGGUACAGGCGGUGCUGCUCCCCACACUGCUCCUGUCUUCUGAGUCCAAACUGGGAGUGCCGGAAUCCUCACCCUUAGCCCUCAUCAGGAGGCAACCAGGGGGUGUGUCCUGACUUUGGUCACUGUCUGGCUGGGGAGACACCAGGGCUGACCCUUGGACUGAGGUGAGACCUCUUGAUUGCCCCCAGUGGGAGAAGGGCAUGGAGCCCCAGGAAGGAGGGAAGGAAGAAGGAAAGGAAGGAAGGGAGAAAAAAGAGAAGAGAGAGAGAAUGAGAGAGAGAGAGAGAGAGAGAGAGAUAGGUUGGACUUCAGCAGACAAAGAACCCGGCCAACAAUAAAACAAAACCCAGAGAAGAAGGAAGUUCCCCAGGAGGAAUUUGGGCACUGUGUCAACUUGAUAAGGACAAGGUGCAAUGGAAGCCACACUCGAAGAUGAGAUGAGCCUGUUCAUCUCAGCAGCCAGUGGCAGAGGGGGAGACCACAGAACUCCAGAAGCAAGCGGAGAGCCCACACGCCAUACAGUUAUGACUCAAUGAGCCCAAGCCAGGAGGAACAGGAGAGGCAUGGCUGAAAUUGGAUUAUAGACACAGAUGGCUGGCUCUGACCAGCACAGCAAAGGCACAACAAGAUCCAGGCACCGGAGGAAGGAUAUGUGAUGAUGAAGCAAAGAAAGAACUGUGCACGGAGUCCCAGGAAAACAAGACACAGGAUGCAUUCCAUCCAGAUAUGGCUCCUACUCCACCUCCUCAGCUGAGGGUAAAGAAGAUUCUGCAGGUGCACAAGACAGAACCAGUGAGUCACUACGAAGGGGGUGAAGUGAGCUGGCUGCAGAUUUUCUGCAGUGAACUAAGCACCAGAGGAUGACGGUCCCAUGCUGAUCAAGUUCUAAUGGGAAAAAAUGAGGUCUAGGACUAUUAUACCCAGCCAAAAUGUCACUCGAGUCUAGAGACACAGGGGCGAUGUCCUCCAACGCAAAGGAACGUGAGAGAACGCGGCACAAAUGCACACGCCCUUGUUGGGAGAAAAACAACCACAGCCACCUCAAAGAUGAAAUGAAGCUGCUAAAAGAAAUGCCAAAGAAAGAAUUCCAGCGUGAAGAAGCCGUAUGAAAGGGUGGGUGGGCAGCGGGAAGCCCACUGAGGUGGCUACAGAGCGUUAGAGAAUUACACAAAAUAUGGUUAUAGAACAGGUAAGCAUUUAAACCUUGGUGGAGUAAAAACAAUGAUAAAAUUAGUAACAUUGUGGGUAUGCAGGACACUGUGAUCCAAAAUGAAGACACGCCAGGCGACUGAGAUUCUAACGCGAGCCGCGCUGAAAGACCCAUCCCCAGAGAAUGACUGACUCAGGGCAGGGAAGGUUCGAGAGUGUGGAAAAUCUAGUUUUGCUAGAGAACAAGGAAGUUGCAAAGAGGAAUGGGGUCAUGUCCAAGGGUACGGAAGCCAGUGGGAAGGGCUCCCAUUGGCCAAAGUGGAGGCGGUGGGAUCUCAGAGGGGACAAUGAUUCAAACAUGGCGUGUGGGCUUCCUGCUGCUGUGGUUACAAAUGACCACAAAUUCAAUUGCUAAACCACACUUUUUUUUUUUUUUUUUUUUUUUACCUUGAGACGGGAUCUCACUUUGUUGCCCAGGCUGGAGUGCAGUGGCAUGAACAUCGCUCACUGCAGCCUGGACCUCCUGGGCUCAAGUGAUCCUCCUGCCUCAGCUUCCCAAGUAGCUGGGACUACAGGCAUGCACCACCAUGCUCGGCUAAGUUUUGUAUUUUUUGUAGAGACAGGGUUUUGCCAUGUUGCCCAGGCUGGUCUGGAACUCCUGAGCUCGAGAGAUCUGCCUGCCUUGGCCUCCCAAAGUGCUGAGAUUUCAGGUGUGAGCCACCGUACCCGGCCAACACAAGUGUUUUAAGCACACCAUCCCGGAGGUCCGAAAUCCCAAGCCUGAAGUGCCGGCAGGGCUGGCUCCUUCUGGAGUCCCAGGGAGGGGUCCAUUUCCUUGCCUCUUCCAGCUUCCGGUGACCACCACCCUCCCCGGCUGGGCCCCUCCUCCCAUCGCUCCAGUCCUUGCUUCCCCUGCUCAUCUCCUUCUCCAGCGACUCUGAACCUCUGCCUCCCUCCCCUAGGAAUCUGUGAUGAUCUUGGCUCACCCAGAUCAUCCACGAUAAUUUCCCAUCUUCAAGGCCCUCCACUUAAUCAUAUCUGCUAAUCCCCCUCACCACGUGUGGUCCCCCUCGCCACGCAUGGUUACAUAGUCAUGGGUUUCUGGGAUCAGGACAUGGACAUCUUCAGGGGAGCAUUAUUUGGCCCACCACACACGGCAGGUCCACGGAACUCCAUGGGUCCACACCUGAUGCUCCGAAGGGGGAGUCCAGGGAACCCCUUUCCUUGUUGUCGCCACUAGAGGCUGCAAUUCAACACUGCCUUACUGUGAAAAUCUGUCAUUAAAGAGAAAGGGUCGAGGGUGUUUCCAGCAGGAAUUAUAUUUGGGGGUGCACAGCUCCCAUGGAUGAAGGAUCAGCACAGUGCAGAGGAGAAUGUGGGUAACGCUGAUGGAGGGAGGAAGAGAAAAAGGCAGCCUGCACCUCCCAGGUCCCAGUGGAAGGACAGGCUUGGGAAGGGCCUUCAGAGGGGGCCAAGAGCCACAGAGGGAACACUGGGUGCUCGUAAAGCCACAGGCCACCUUGAGGUGACCAGGGGGAAGUACCUGCCCAGUGGUGGGGUUGGGCUGGCCCCAGCAGGUCCAUCAGGCCAUCUUUGACACGGGCAACCAGGACCUGAGGCCACACGCAGACACCAAGGGCACGUGCAACAUUUUCAAGCCUCGAUCAAGUAAGCUCUGUCCAGCAGGCCUGCAGACCCAACUUCCACUUUGCAAAAAAUACUGGAGGCAGAAGAACAAGCUGAACCACCCACAGAGAGGCCACCGGACACGUGCAGACGGUGGAAACUUCUGCAGGACGAGAGGCCUGGUGUACGUGCUACCUCUGUUGCGUAACGAACCACCACCAGCCUGGAAGCUCACAGCAGCACCCACUUAUCACUUCUCAGUUCUGUAGGGUAGAAGUCUGCGCACAGCUGAGCUUGGUUUUCUGCAGAGGGUCCCAUGAGGCUGAGACGGAGGCAUCCGCAGGGCUGGGCCCGCAUCUGGAGCCCAGCAGGAAUCUGCUCCCAGGCUCAUUCCCGCCAUCUGCGGAAUCCCCUCCUGCACAGUGGGACAGAGGACCCCCUUUCUUGCUGGCCGCUGGCAGGGGGUUGCUCUCAGCUCCCCAGGGCCACCUCCUUCCUUGGCAUAUGCCCUCAUCUCUAAAGCAAGUACAGAUGUGUUCAGUUCCCUGCUGCCUCCAGUCACUUCACCUCUUCCACUGCCAGCCAGAGGAAACGCUGCUUUCAGAGGGCACGUGUGAGUAGACGCAGCCCACUCGGAUAAUCGCCCUUUGAUUAAUUCAAAUUCAACUGCUCAGCGAACUUAAUUAUAUCUCCCGUGUAUACCUGUCUCCCCAUUCCUCCUUUGUAUAAAGAGGGGCCUUAGUCCUAUUGAAUUAGGGCCCAACUGAAUGACCUCAUUUCACCUUAAUUACCUCUAAAGAACCAAUUUCCAAAUACAGUCAUAGUCUAAGGUACCAUGGGUUGGGGCUUUGAUAUAUAAAUCUUGGGGGACACAGUUCAAUCCCGAACACCAUGUCACGUGACAAUCGUGGUGUGAUGUCUCAGAUUCACAAUCCCGGGGGUAGGGUGGGAAAUCCUGGGGGACCCGCCUGGUGGGAGCUGUUCCAGAUUAAAAAGGGGUUUGUGAAUCACCAUAACCAGACCCGGCAAAACACUCCUGGAUUGAGCUCACCAGCUGCUGAGCACAUGCCGGGGCCGCUGGGGAGAUGUCUCUCCAAGCUGGGCUUGGGCUGCCCCUCUCCCAGGACCCCUGCCCGGCCCUCUCCCCUUCCCAGCCCGUGGCUGCGGCCCUCACUCUCCGGCCCCCGGCUCUCUGCCCCUCCGUGGGCAUGGCCUUGGCCUCCCUGAGUUCUGGGGAGAUGCCUCCCACUUCCUGUUCCCCCGGAACAGGGCGUGAGUCUUGGGAGACCUAAUCAGGGCCUCCUGAAAUCUGGGCUUUUCCCAGGCAGGCCGUGGGUGGCUGUUACAUCCGCAGUGAGGCUGUGGGGGUCUCACUUCCCAAGGAGGGGCCUGCGGGUGGCUUGGCCGCUGGCUCUUUUCUGCCCCACAUAGAAACCAGGUGAAUCUGCCCCGAUGUUCUCCCUCCAAACAAUUAUGCGAUUUCCUGGUGUCGGGGUGUCCUGGGGCUGCCAUAACAAAGUACCACAGCGGGGGGCUUGAAGCAACAGUUCUGGAGGCCAGAGUUGGACAUCAGUGUCCCUGG
rnacentral:lncRNA from 10 species